rnacentral:rRNA from 1 species
CGUAGGGUGCGAGCGUUGUCCGGAAUUAUUGGGCGUAAAGGGCUCGUAGGCGGUCUGUUGCGUCAGGAGUGAAAACUCGGGGCUUAACCCCGAGCCUGCUUCUGAUACGGGCAGACUAGAGGUAUGCAGGGGAGAACGGAAUUCCUGGUGUAGCGGUGAAAUGCGCAGAUAUCAGGAGGAACACCGGUGGCGAAGGCGGUUCUCUGGGCAUUACCUGACGCUGAGGAGCGAAAGUGUGGGGGAGCGAACAGGAUUAGAUACCCUGGUAGUCCACACCGUAAACGUUGGGCGCUAGGUGUGGGACUCAUUCCACGAGUUCCGUGCCGCAGCUAACGCAUUAAGCGCCCCGCCUGGGGAGUACGGCCGCAAGGCUA